AAAAAUAAUUGGAAAAUAAGAUUUAAGUCUAUUUGUUUUUAUCUAAAAAAUACAUCUAAAUAAUCAAUUAAAAUAAUUAGGGUAUUUUUGUCAUUUGUUAAUUUUGACUGAAUCAUCUACAUCCAAAUGAUCCAAUUAAGUUCAGCCAAAUGAGUUUCAAAAUUUAGCCUAAAUUUUCAAACUCAUCCAAAUGAUUCAUUUGGAUGGAUCAUCUGAAUGAACCGUUUUUUGCACUAAACGAACAUCAAAACUCAUCUCCAUCGAGAUGAUCCAUCUGACUGAUGAAACAAACAGAGCCUUAAUAAUAAAAAAAC
rnacentral:sRNA from 1 species